GACGAAUUAUAUAAUUGCAACUAUGUGCCCUUGGAAAAUGCUGUGAAACAAGAUUUCAGUAGAUGGAAAAUAACACCCCUGACUCUCCUAGAAAGAAUUAAGAUUAUAAAAAUGUAUGUUCUGCCACGCUUCUUAUUUUUAUUCCAAAACUUGCCUUUGUAUAUAUCACCGACACGCUUCCAUACCUGGGAGGGAAUGCUGAGAAAAUUUAUAUGGGACGCUAAGAAGCCAAGAGUUAAAUUAAAAUUAUUGCAACAGAAUAAAGACAGAGGUGGGUUGGCCUUACCUAAUCUGUGUCAUUAUUACUAUGCAGCACAGAUUAAACCUAUACUGAUAUGGAUGAACAAUAAGAGAAACCCUAAAUGGAAGCGUAUGGAAUUGAGUCUGGUCGAGUCACUCAGCACAUUGAUCUUUACACCUUAUGAUAAAGCACAGAUGAAAACACUCAACUACUCUAUACGUAAUACUUUUAGGAGUUGGAAAACCAUCUGUAAAAUGUGUAAAAUCAAGGAACAAGAAGCUACCUGUAUGAGAGAAAUGUCAUGCGACUCAGAUUUCACUCCAAAUAGAAUAGAUCAGGUUUUUAAGAUAUGGGAAGGGAAAGGUCUUCAGAGAUUCUUUCAAAUGUAUAAUGACCAAGGAAUGGUCUCUUUUGAAGAUAUAGUAGAA